rnacentral:rRNA from 1 species
UACGUAGGGGGCAAGCGUUGUCCGGAAUCAUUGGGCGUAAAGAGCGUGUAGGCGGCCUGGUAAGUCCGCUGUGAAAGUCCAGGGCUCAACCCUGGAAUGCCGGUGGAAACUGUCAGGCUCGAGUCCGGAAGAGGCGAGUGGAAUUCCUGGUGUAGCGGUGAAAUGCGCAGAUAUCAGGAGGAACACCAAUGGCGAAGGCAGCUCGCUGGGCAGUAACUGACGCUGAGGAGCGAAAGCGUGGGGAGCGAACAGG